GGAGAGUAAUGAGCUCUGUGAAUUAAUGAUACAUGCAAGAAGCCAGUUACGUGUCUAUCAGCACAACACAAACUAAAUAGUCCAGCAGCCAACAUAAAUAAGCACAAAACUUGACAUUCAUAUUCAGCACAUUUUACAAAAAUUGUACCUUCCAUUAAUUUUAUCCUUUAGUUACAAAAUCCAAGCUUAAUAUAUGCAGUCUAUACUUGGUAGAAGCUGAUGGGGAUUCGUCUGCUCACGAUCAUUUGUCAUGCCAAGCAAAUUCUUCGACCAAAUUCACUGCGUAAUCACCACUCCUCAUCAUCAUCAUCUCCUGCAGCAAAAACAGUAAAUGUCCCAAAAGGUCACUUUCCAGUCUACAUUGGAGAGACCUAUAAGCAACGUUUCGUGGUACCUAUAUCUUACUUAAAUCACCCUUCAUUUCAAGACUUGUUGAGGCGGGCUGAGGAAGAAUUUGGAUUCGAUCAUCCAAUGGGUGGCCUUACAAUCCCAUGCAGCCAAGAUGCCUUUUUAAGUAUUAUUUCUCUAAUAUCAACCAAUUUUGCAUGCAUAUAUCUACCCUUGUAAAUACCCUCCUCCUACUUCUGUUGUUGUAGUUCCAAAGAAAAUAAUGGUUAUACACCAAUUUAUUUUUACUUUUGGCUUCUUAUUAGCUUCUAUUAUGUCAAUAAGCAACAGUAGACAUUAUUUACCCAUAAAAACAACAAUCAGUCAAACACAAAGGGGAAAACAUAACCAAACAGAACUUGUAUAAUAAUUUUUCGUAGCAGGUUGUCAAGUCUAACAAAUAAUGAGAAUAUAGAGCUUACGAUAUGUAACAAACUGGAUUUGGACCAUAAGUUGAAUUCUUCACCAAAAGAUUUAAUUUAAUCUCUCCGUUUUGGAGAAAAGGAAAAAAAU
rnacentral:lncRNA from 1 species